UACGGAGGGGGCUAGCGUUGUUCGGAAUUACUGGGCGUAAAGGGCGCGUAGGCGGCCUUCUAAGUCGGACGUGAAAUCCCUCGGCUUAACCGAGGAACUGCGUCCGAUACUGAAAGGCUUGAAUCCGGGAGAGGGAUGUGGAAUUCCAGGUGUAGCGGUGAAAUGCGUAGAUAUCUGGAGGAACACCGGUGGCGAAGGCGGCAUCCUGGACCGGCAUUGACGCUGAGGCGCGAAAGCUAGGGGAGCAAACGGG
rnacentral:rRNA from 1 species